CCCGCUGAACUUAAGCAUAUCAAUAAGCGGAGGAAAAGAAACCAACAGGGAUUACCCUAGUAACGGCGAGUGAAGCGGUAAUAGCUCAAAUUUUAAAUCUGGCCUUCACGGGUCCGAGCUGUAAUUUGUAGAGGAUGUUUCGGGCAAGGCUAUGGUUUAAGUUUCUUGGAACAGAACGUCAUAGAGGGUGAGAAUCCCGUCUAGAACCGAUGGCCGCGUCCAUGUGAACUUCCUUCGACGAGUCGAGUUGUUUGGGAAUGCAGCUCAAAAUGGGUGGUAAAUUUCAUCUAAAGCUAAAUAUUGGCCAGAGACCGAUAGCGCACAAGUAGAGUGAUCGAAAGAUGAAAAGCACUUUGAAAAGAGAGUUAAACAGUAUGUGAAAUUGUUGAAAGGGAAGCGCUUGCAACCAGACUUGUGUAUCGUGGUUCCCUCGGUCUUCUGAUCGGGUAACUCCAUGAUAUCCAGGCCAGCAUCGGUUCGGGUGGUUGGUUAAAGGUCCUGGGAAUGUAUCUACCUUCGGGUCGACUUAUAGCCCAGGGCGUAAUGCAGCCUACCUGGACCGAGGAACGCGCUUUUGCUCGGAUGCUGGCGUAAUGGUUGUAAGCGGCCCGUCUUGAAACACGG
rnacentral:rRNA from 1 species